rnacentral:lncRNA from 1 species
GAUGAGUGUUCUUUUCUGUCAAAGAACUGUGUGUUUUAAUAUAUGAAAGCGAUGUGACUUGAUUAUUUCCCUUCCAAACCUUUGGGGACAGUGUGCUUGACUCUGUGACCUUGGGAACAAUACUGAGCACUGUGGCCUUGGGGACCCUGCUUGAGGAUCUUACCACAGGAUGCCGAGGCCUCUGUGUCAGCUAAGAAAGCAGUUAGAUCUGGGUCUUCCUCCCAGCUUUGCCAGGUCUUGUGAGUAAGGACAUGUAAAGUCCCCAUCUUAAGUGACACCUACUUUUACAGCAUGUCUAUUAAGUGCCAGUCCCAAGUGAGCUCCCCUCUCCAACCUUGAAAAUGUCCAUUUUUUCCCCAGAUUCAGUGGGGGCUUCUCCAGGCACACUAGCCUUACCCUAACUCAGCACUUGGUGGGCUCUACCUCCUCAGCAACACCCCUUCAGCAUGAGGGUGCCAUCUAGACACUGCUAUUGCCUGGGGUCACCAGAAGACCUGAGGGGCUGGUGGCUGAUGCUUGACUGGGUUGUGCACACUCUCCUUUGGAGAUGAACCCUUCCUGAGGCUUCUUUGAACCUCCCUGAAGGGCUUGGGACCUUUCCCAGGCAGAAUUGGUGGACAUGGAGUGUGAGCCCUCCCCCAGCCUGGCUCUCCCAUCCGCUGCCUCCAAGUCAAAUGUACCCACAGCACAUGGGCCCUUCCUGUCCAGCCCUCGUGUUGUCCUUGGGGGCCAUGUGAUGCUGGGGUCAGCCUUUUAUCCUGGACAGCUAUGUGUGAGCCUUGGCCCUUCCUGGGGCAGAGGUCCCUGAUUGGUGUGGGUACCUGCAGCCUCUACCUUUCUUCCACUCUCUGCCUAUUGUCUAGAAUGUAUGUGGCUCCUUCUCUUCUGAAUGCUGAAUCUUAAGAGUAGUCAUUGUGUCAGCUUUGGCCAUUUUCUUUGCUUACCAUCCCCUUGAAAACUGCAGCCAACCCUCUCCUGACCUGUUCCAGUUAGUGCACACCUCUCUUCAUUUUUGGAAUUUAACCUGUAUGUACAUGCUGGAAGUCUCCUUUUUCUUCUGGAUUAAAUCCCUUUUAUCCUUUUGAAAAUCAGCCGGAAUCUGCCACUCCUAAUAUAAAUAAUUCAACUCAGC